ACGAACGCUGGCGGCGUGCUUAACCCAUGCAAGUCGAACGGAAAGGCCCUGCUUUUGUGGGGUGCUCGAGUGGCGAACGGGUGAGUAACACGUGAGUAACCUGCCCUUGACUUUGGGAUAACUUCAGGAAACUGGGGCUAAUACCGGAUAGGAGCUGCUGCUGCAUGGGGGGGGUUGGAAAGUUUCGGCGGUGGGGGAUGGACUCGCGGCUUAUCAGCUUGUUGGGGGGGUAGUGGCUUACGAAGGCAUUGACGGGUAGCCGGCCUGAGAGGGUGACCGGCCACAUUGGGACUGAGAUACGGCCCAGACUCCUACGGGAGGCAGCAGUGGGGAAUAUGGCACAAUGGGCCGAAGCCUGAUGCAGCAACGCCGCGUGCGGGAUGACGGCCUUCGGGUUGUAAACCGCUUUCGCCUGUGACGAAGCGUGAGUGACGGUAAUGGGUAAAGAAGCACCGGCUAACUACGUG
rnacentral:rRNA from 1 species